rnacentral:rRNA from 1 species
GGGUUGUGAGGUUAAGUGACUAAGCGUACACGGUGGAUGCCUAGGCAGUCAGAGGCGAUGAAGGGCGUGCUAAUCUGCGAAAAGUGUCGGUAAGGUGAUAUGAACCGUUAUAACCGGCAAUACCCGAAUGGGGAAACCCAGUGUGUUUCGACACACUAUCAUUAACUGAAUCCAUAGGUUAAUGAGGCGAACCGGGGGAACUGAAACAUCUAAGUACCCCGAGGAAAAGAAAUCAACCGAGAUUCCCCCAGUAGCGGCGAGCGAACGGGGAGGAGCCCAGAGCCUGAAUCAGUGUGUGUGUUAGUGGAAGCGUCUGGAAAGGCGCGCGAUACAGGGUGACAGCCCCGUACACAAAAAUGCACAUACUGUGAGCUCGAUGAGUAGGGCGGGACACGUGG